AACACAGUGCUGCCUCUGUCGAACAAUCGGUAAAGUAAAACAGCAUUCAAUCUCUAUAGACACAGCAGAUUUUGGUAUUACGUAUGAGUUUUAAGAGCGAUCGAAUAGCAAUCAGCGAACAAAUACAACUGUCAAAUAGCAAAUGGUAAAUCAUUGAAUGUUGGUCGAUCGCUCGCUGAUCGCUCAGUUCGUAACGCUGUUUAUUAAUAGUUUUAAGUUGAUUAUUAAGGGUUUUUGUUUCAAUUUGUGCCUAUUUGGAUAUGGCUAGUAUAUUUUUAUUGUUAGAAGCUAUGAAUGGGGAAACUAGAAAAGCGUAAGACAUCUACUUUGCGGCGCAAUCUUCGAGAUGAUGCCGAAGCUUUGGAUCUGCCUAAUAAUUAAAUCCCAAGAAUUGUGCGAUAAAUUAAGGCCUUAUAAGUCGCAAACACGCAGGAGAAAUAAAAAUUUGUGUUGAGUGUAAAUUUUUCAAACAAAUUUGGCUGUGUGGGUUGCAUUGAUUAACAUGCUGAAUAUUUUUUUAAUGGAAAGGAUUACCACAGUAUAAAUGUUCAAGUUAUAUGUUACAGUGAUUCAAAUAUAAUUAAUGUGGAUGCAUCGUUAAGUGGGGUGAGUCAUGAUGCAUAUAUCUGGAGAAACUGGGAAAUGCAGGCUCAAUUACAAAACUUACACAGUAGAGGAGAAAGGAUCUGGUUAUUAGAGGACUUGGGGCAUCCAUUAAUGACAUGUCUUUCAAAUCCAAUUGUGAAUGCAGAAAAUGGUUCCGCAGAACAUUAUACCAAUAUUUACUACAGCUUCGCCAGGAAUAUGACUGAGCAUUACAUUGGAGUAUUAAAGCAUGUUGGAAAGUUUGCUAGCCACAGUGUUGGAUUAUGAUCAUCAUAAUAUGGUAGCAAUAAUUACCAAUGCCUGUGUUGUUUUGUACAUCUGCUACAGACUUAGACUGCUAGUUCCACCUUUGGCAAAUAAAGAUAUAGAAGAAGACAGUAAUAACUAGGUGACAGCUCCAUCACAAUCUGAUAAUAGGGAGCCUGAGGAGCUCCCAUUGUUAAGGGGCCAACAACACAGAAUUGUGCAAUGUUUGUAGUCGACUAGGAGAUAAUUUGAAUUUAAUUUUUGUAUUAAAUUAUUAAUCAAAUUCUAAA